AGUCUUGAUUUAAUGAGUAACUUUUUAAUGGGAACCCCCUCGUCUCCACGCACAGCUGCGCCAACCUUCACGCACAGCCCAGUGCCAGUCCCACGCACAGCCCUCUCUUCUCUCUUCUCUCUUCUCUUCUGCGAUUGUGUCUCUCCACUCUGGUUUGUUAUCUUCGUGCUCGCACAACGCCCUAGAUCCAGUCCAGGGAUAUAGAGCCAAAUUGCUCAAAUACUUGGGUAGAUUUUUCUAGUUUCAAAGUGAGUGAGAAAUUUCAUGUUAAUCUGUUGGCAACCCAGAUGAGUAUUGUCAAAAUGACAAUGAGUGUUUUGAACGGAAACAUAUACCUUUUGUAGAGAAGUGGAAUGGUAAUGGAAACUAGUAGUAGCAAUGAAAAUCUGGCCCAUCCCAAAUGGAGAAAGGUGGCAUAUGGAGGAAUGCAAUUUGGAUUUGAUGACAACUACACAGAUGAAUCUUUUCUCGAAGAUAUGGUAAUGAAUGCCAAUGUUGUUAAGCGGGACAUGUUCAAGGUGAUGCUAGACUCAGUUUCCAUCUCUCAGUACAUAUGUAUUGUUGCUCUUGUUGUCUUGGUAUGGACAUACACUCUUGGAACAACCAUUAAUGAAAGUCUCCUCUUGUUUCUUGAUGUGAGUCUUUUUGUUUCAGGUUUCUUAGUUCUCCUCCUGACCGAAGAAAUGUGUUCCCUAAAUAUUCUUUUCCGCUAUUUUCUUAAAUUUUCCUUUUUCACGACUGGGUUAUAUGUUCUGGCUCCAAUCUAUCAAACUCUCACACGGUCUUUUAGCUCUGACUCCAUUUGGGCAGUAACUGUUUCACUUCUCAUACUCCAUCUCUUCUUGCAUGACUAUUCAGGAUCUCCUGUAGGAGCAACAGGGGCACUACAUAAUCCAAACUUAACCAGCUUUAUUUCCUUGAACGCCUCUAUCGUGGCUUCAGUUUUCAUUGCUUCCCGUCUCCCAUCAAGACUACAUGUUUUCGCUAUCAUGCUGUUCUCAUUGCAGGUCUUCCUCUUCGCUCCACUGGUGACUUGUUGUAUUAAGAAAUACUCUUUUAGGUUGCACCUAUGGUUCUCAUAUAUGUUGAUGAUUGUGACUUUGGCUUUUGUAUAUAUGUGGCAUCAAUUACUUUUUGUACUGUUGUUGGCUCUGUUGGUUUUUGUCAUUGUUGUGUGUCCUUACUGGCUUAUAAGAAUUCAAGAGUACAAGUUUGAGAUCAAUGGUCCCUGGGACGAGGCUAAGCUCUGUUUUGAUGUCACAGAGUGAGAUACCAGUUGCAUCUUUGUCCCCAGGACAGGAGGUUUUGAGCUACAUCCAGUCCUCAUGGCAGAAUUUUUGGUGAUGGGGGGACCAUUCAUGGUAAACAUGGUUUUGUAGCGCCGCAGCAGCAGCUGUUGAUUUUUCAACCCGGUAGAGGUUUUGCGUAAGUGGUAACAUCUGUCUGGAAUGGCCUUGAAACUUGAAGCUCUCUCUUGGAGGAUUGGUUUUAUUCUAGGUCCACAGGAAGCUCUUUUGUUCUUCAGGGGCUGAGCGUAUGUCUUUGCUUUAGAACUGUAACCCCCGCAUCCGUUAGAUGAGCAGUUGGGGAUUGCUUCAUAUUUGUUCUCUCUUACUCUUUGUUCCGCGAGGAGCUCUUUGUGCCCCACCUCCCUCCAUCAGAUUUUGUAGCCAUUCUAUUGUUUUCCCCUGUUAAUGUCAGGCGGCUUUUUUUUUCAAAGAAAGAUGAUUAAAAAAGCAAACUUUUCUUUGAUGAACAAACAAAUAGGUGGAAGGCGGCGGAAAAGCAUUUCAAAUGGGGGAGAUCAGCUCAAGGCUCUAUAUGAUAGUUAUUAACAGAUUAGGCUUCACAGUCUGAUCAUAUAAAAUGUACUUCAAAUGGUCCGUAGCUAACCUGUAUUUUUACAUGGAUUUCCUUGAGUUGUGAAAUUGUGACGCGUGCGCAUUGGGUUCUCAGCUGGCGAUCAUUAUUUUCUAACUGGUGCCGGGACCUACUAAUUGGCUGCAAAUGUAUUACCAUUUUAAUUGCUACUGCUGUUUCUUUUUCAGUUCUUGCAUUUCUAUACUUAUAAUUUCAGUCGUGCAAUGAAAUGAGUGGACUCAUUUUGUA